CCUUGUUAUUGCGUAAUAUACAGUAACAUGUUACAAAGAACCUUGAAUAUCUCCAGCUAUACAUAUCGAAUCUAUUGAAACAAUACACAGGUAUUCAUGUUUGAUAUAGAAUACAAAUUAAUCCAUUAAAAUAAUGAGGGCUGGAAUUAAAAGGAGGAAUAAAUCAGUCUGAAGUGAAAUUCUGAAACCAACAUUUAUUUUUUUUCAUUUUAAAAUACAAAAUAUUUAGCAAUAUUAUAUGAUAGAGUAAACCAUUUGACAGCCUUUCAUGCUCUUUGUGUCGCUUCAACAUUUACCAGAAUGUUCUUCUAUCCUUUCAUAUAUUAUUUCCUGCAGUCACCAGGGUUUCACACUGCGUCCUGCUAUCAUUUAGUCUAUAUGUGAGUCUCAAUGGAUGAGCAUGUUGUUUGUUUAAUUGAAUUAUUUUCUCCUCCUCCUCCCCUCCUCCUCCUCCUCUCCUCCUCCUCCUCUCCUCCUUACCCCAUAAAGCCUUGAGCUAGCAAAUGUAGUAACCUGACAAAUUUGAAAAACAAAGUUGCACAGCAAAUGAAAGAGUGAAAACUGUAAAAGGUCUCUCUUGCCCCCAUCUUGCAAUGCACCCAACACACCUUCAAACCCCCAGGUCAAGCUCCCGUCUGGCGUCUCUAUACCCCCUCGAACCAAAACAUCUACAGUCAGGUCAAGCUCCCGCCUGGCGUCUCUAUACCCCCUCGAACCAAAACAUCUACAGUCAGGUCAAGCUCCCGUCUGGCGUCUCUAUACCCCCUCAAACCAAAACAUCUACAGUCAGGUCAAGCUCCCGCCUGGCGUCUCUAUACCCCCUCGAACCAAAACAUCUAGUCAGGUCAAGCUCUCGUCUGGCGUCUCUAUACCCCCUCGAACCAAAACAUCUACAGUCAGGUCAAGCUCUCGUCUGGCGUCUCUAUACCCCCUCGAACCAAAACAUCUAGUCAGGUCAAGCUCUCGUCUGGCGUCUCUAUACCCCCUCGAACCAAAACAUCUACAGUCAGGUCAAGCUCUCGCCUGGCGUCUCUAUACCCCCUCGAACCAAAACAUCUAGUCAGGUCAAGCUCCCGUCUGGCGUCUCUAUACCCCCUCGAACCAAAACAUCUAGUCAGGUCAAGCUCUUGUCUGGCGUCUCUAUACCCCCUCGAACCAAAACAUCUAGUCAGGUCAAGCUCUCGUCUGGCGUCUCUAUACCCCCUCGAACCAAAACAUCUAGUCAGGUCAAGCUCUCGUCUGGCGUCUCUAUACCCCCUCGAACCAAAACAUCUAGUCAGGUCAAGCUCUCGCCUGGCGUCUCUAUACCCCCUCGAACCAAAACAUCUAGUCAGGUCAAGCUCUCGUCUGGCGUCUCUAUACCCCCUCGAACCAAAACAUCUAGUCAGGUCAAGCUCUCGUCUGGCGUCUCUAUACCCCCUCGAACCAAAACAUCUAGUCAGGUCAAGCUCUCGCCUGGCGUCUCUAUACCCCCUCGAACCAAAACAUCUAGUCAGGUCAAGCUCUCGUCUGGCGUCUCUAUACCCCCUCGAACCAAAACAUCUAGUCAGGUCAAGCUCUCGUCUGGCAUCUCUAUACCCCCUCAACCAAAACAUCUAGUCAGGUCAAGCUCUCGUCUGGCGUCUCUAUACCCCCUCGAACCAAAACAUCUAGUCAGGUCAAGCUCUCGUCUGGCGUCU
ensembl:lncRNA